GGCGGGUUGGCAGAUCAUGCGGUCGACUUAGGAUCGACAGAGGGGGCUGUUAACGCCUCACCCGCUU
rnacentral:tRNA from 1 species